GACGAACGCUGGCGGCGUGCUUAACACAUGCAAGUCGAACGGAAAGGCCCUGCUUUUGUGGGGUGCUCGAGUGGCGAACGGGUGAGUAACACGUGAGUAACCUGCCCUUGACUUUGGGAUAACUUCAGGAAACUGGGGCUAAUACCGGAUAGGAGCUCCUGCUGCAUGGUGGGGGUUGGAAAGUUUCGGCGGUUGGGGAUGGACUCGCGGCUUAUCAGCUUGUUGGUGGGGUAGUGGCUUACCAAGGCUUUGACGGGUAGCCGGCCUGAGAGGGUGACCGGCCACAUGGGGACUGUAAUACGGCCCAGACUCCUACGGGAGGCAGCAGUGGGGAAUAUUGCACAAUGGGCGGAAGCCUGAUGCAGCAACGCCGCGUGCGGGAUGACGGCCUUCGGGUUGUAAACCGCUUUCGCCUGUGACGAAGCGUGAGUGACGGUAAUGGGUAAAGAAGCACCGGCUAACUACGUG
rnacentral:rRNA from 1 species